rnacentral:rRNA from 1 species
CCUACGGGAGGCAGCAGUGGGGGAUAUUGCACAAUGGGGGGAACCCUGAUGCAGCGACGUCGCGUGGGUGAAGAAGCGCCUCGGCGCGUAAAGCCCUGUCAGCAGGGGAGAAAAUGACGGUACCUGAAGAAGAAGCCCCGGCUAACUACGUGCCAGCAGCCGCGGUAAUACGUCGGGGGCAAGCGUUAUCCGGAUUUACUGGGUGUAAGGGGGCGCAGACGGCGAUGCAAGCCAGGAGUGAAAGCCCGGGGCCCAACCCCGGGACUGCUCUUGGAACGGCGUGGCUGGAGUGCAGGAGGGGCAGGCGGAAUGCCUGGUGUAGCGGUGAAAUGCGUAGAUAUUAGGAAGAACACCAGUGGCGAAGGCGGCUUUCUGGACUGAAACUGACGUUGAGGCACGAAAGCGUGGGGAGCAAACAGGAUUAGAUACCCCAGUAGUC